rnacentral:tRNA from 1 species
GCAUGGAUGGCCGAGCGGUCGAAGGCAGCGGAUUGCAAACCCGCCGACGAAAGUCCACGCCAGUUCAAAUCUGGCUCCAUGCUCCA